GGGAGGGUUCAAAAAGAGGCACUUUGAGGACUAUUUUACAUGCAGAGUAGCCACUUUGUUCUAUCUUACCCAGCACUGCUGCAAUUCGUGAUCAUAGAAGUGCAAAAUGGUAACCAUUUCAACAAGACGUCUAUAAAAAGCUACAACACUAGGAAUGAAAAAAGCCGCGGCGGGUUAUUGGUACUUGGAUGGGAGCCCUCCCGGGAGAACUGAGAAGAUUCAAGAAUUGGUCCUGAAGAUUCAGUAGCUGGCAUGCUGAUUUCUAAGACAAUGAUUUGUGCUUCAGCCCUGGAUGAACCUGGUGAAUUACUGGGUUUUGCUGACCUCCCAAUCUAUUAACGAGAAUUCCCUAUAUAUCUGUACAAUUUUGAAUGCUAUUCUCCCGUAGGGUGAAUUCCAUUAAAAAAUACUGAGUUCCUGGAAAAACUGACAAUCCACUCCUAUAAUAAAGGUGAAAAUUAAGGCUCCAGGCCUGUAGUCCAAAAACAAAGGCUUAUUACAAUGAAUACCAUGUAAUGAUAUCUUACAUUAACUUUAAAAUAAAUAAUAUUGGGAUAGUCCACCUCAGUUUGUCUCCUGCCAUGGGACAUCUGAUCAGCAUGGCCAGACCUACUGAUUGUUCCAUGGUGUAGUCUCAAGAAGAAGAGACGGGCCCUCUUUCAAGAGCCUGUGACUGGAAUGGUCCCUCCCUUAAGAUAUAUCCAUCAGUGACAAGGUUAUUUCUUUUUUAGUUCACAUUCUGUGUGGUUUUUUGAUUGUUUUUUUUUUUUGCACUGGGAUAGGAUGGAUUAGUAGAAGAUUGGUUUUAAUAGGCUUUUUUCUAUUAGUUUUGUUACCUCAUUUGUUGAAAGGAUUCUCAAUUUUCUUGUAUAUGGUGUUGGGUAUGUGAUAGGAGAGUGAAAUCAUCUGCAAAGUCCAGGUCUUCAAGAGAUGAGAAUGGUGUCUAUUUAAUGCCUUUUGGCAUGUCUUCUGUUGUACGCUGCAUUACCCAGUCGAUUGAAGAGGAAUAUCCUUUAAAAUAUACUGUUUUUAAUGUUGUUUUCUUUUUGUGACACAC